rnacentral:ncRNA from 2 species
GAUUGCAUUAAUUUCUUCUCUGCAAUCGCGGCUG